rnacentral:rRNA from 1 species
CAGCAUCAUCAAAGCUUGCUUUGAUGGAUGGCGACCGGCGCACGGGUGAGUAACACGUAUCCAACCUGCCGACAACACUGGGAUAGCCUUUCGAAAGAAAGAUUAAUACCGGAUGGCAUAGUUUUCCCGCAUGGGAUAAUUAUUAAAGAAUUUCGGUUGUCGAUGGGGAUGCGUUCCAUUAGGCAGUUGGCGGGGUAACGGCCCACCAAACCAACGAUGGAUAGGGGUUCUGAGAGGAAGGUCCCCCACAUUGGAACUGAGACACGGUCCAAACUCCUACGGGAGGCAGCAGUGAGGAAUAUUGGUCAAUGGACGAGAGUCUGAACCAGCCAAGUAGCGUGAAGGAUGACUGCCCUAUGGGUUGUAAACUUCUUUUAUACGGGAAUAAAGUUAGCCACGUGUGGCUUUUUGUAUGUACCGUAUGAAUAAGGAUCGGCUAACUCCGUGCCAGCAGCCGCGGUAAUACGGAGGAUCCGAGCGUUAUCCGGAUUUAUUGGGUUUAAAGGGAGCGUAGGCGGGUUGUUAAGUCAGUUGUGAAAGUUUGCGGCUCAACCGUAAAAUUGCAGUUGAUACUGGCGACCUUGAGUGCAACAGAGGUAGGCGGAAUUCGUGGUGUAGCGGUGAAAUGCUUAGAUAUCACGAAGAACUCCGAUUGCGAAGGCAGCUUACUGG